AGCUCCAAUAGCGUAUAUUAAAGUUGUUGCAGUUAAAAAGCUCGUAGUUGGAUUUCUGGUUUAGAUUUGAGUUGGCCCACCGGCACUCGCUGGUCGGCGCCGAUACGAGUCUGCCAUCUUUCUAGAAAACUGGCCUGCCCUUCGUUGGGUUGGGUCUGGGAUCUAGAUCUUUUACUUUGAAAAAAUUAGAGUGUUUAAAGCAGGUAUGUUGCUAUGAAUACAUUAGCAUGGAAUAAUAAUUUAGGACUUCGUUGUCUUAUUUUGUUGGUUUCUAGGACCGAAGUAAUGAUUGAUAGGGAUAGUUGGGGGUGCUAGUAUUCAGCGGCCAGAGGUGAAAUUCUUGGAUUCGCUGAAGACUAACUUAUGCGAAAGCAUUCACCAAGGAUGUCUUCUUUAAUCA
rnacentral:rRNA from 1 species